AGCGCCGCAGCCUCGGCAGCUGGAGUCGGAGCAGGGGGGGAUGGUUUCAAAAAAUAAUUAAAAAUCGAGGAAAUAUCCUAGAAAAGCCCUUUUGGCGUGAAAACCCCAAAGAAGAGCCAGGCUUCCCGAAACAGAGGUUUCGGGUGCCAGAAAGGUCUGUAUUCCGACCCCUGGGGCUUUGGAUCCCGGGAGGAAACUUGAAGGGGUGAGCGCCGCGGCGGGAGUGUCCGGCUGCGGCCCACAAGGACAGAAACUAGGGAACGCGGUGACGAGCGAGGGGAAAGACGGGAGCAGAGAGCCCUGGAAAGAGGCACGGGGGGCUCCCACCUCUCCUUCAGGGGUGACCCGGUAUCCCCCCUACACACACCCCCUCCCCCCCUUCCUACCCCACCCAAAUCUCCGCACCGAGGAAGCUGGAAAACCAAACUGUGCCCCAGCAGCUCCAGGUCUCGCUGAACCUGUUACUAUGGCAGCGUCUAUGCUUCACUUUUGAGGAUUGCUUCUGCUUUGAAAUAGCCGUGUGGAAGAAAAACUACAAAGUUUUGAGGGGGAAAAAACCCACCUAACUUUAGCUGCCGUUGUGUCUUCAUCUGUAAAAAUCUUCUUCAUGUCUCAUGGAUUUCAACAUGCAGUUUAUCUUGGUUUGUUCCAUAAAACAUCAGAUGCAACUUUAAUGGCCUAACCCCAAAAAGAUAACUUGGCAGCCAUCAAGCAUUCAGCAGCGUUCCAAAUGCCCUCUUGCUGGAGCCAGCCUUCUACGGGGCCAUGUGGAUGUCAGGCACACACAAUUUGAGUCACGCUGACAUAGCUGGGAUGCCUGGAUUGCACUGGAAUCUGGGGGGUACCAAUCACAGGCCAGAGAGAAGCCAUUGGCUGGAAGGAACAAUGCCAGCGUGUUCACCGUCUCUGCAGAAGGAGGGGGUGUUGAUGGUGAGGGGAAUGACAGUUGCAGCCAAAGGAGCAAAAUGACCCCAAAGCAGGGUGGGCACAUGUCAUUGAUGCUGGGCAGAAGCACUCCAGGGGCUCAGGUCAUGACCACACCCCUUUUCUCCUGCCCCACAACCAGAAAAACUAAGAAGGUACAAGAUUUUCCCUAAAACUUAAUGUACAGAAUGCCCUGCUGUCUUCAGGUUUUUGGGAAAUCCAGGGUUGACAACAACAGCCCAAAUAUAUGAAGCACUUACCUCUACCAGGCACUGUCUGUAUCUUACAAAUAAUUCGUUUAAUUCUCACAACUCCUUAAUGAGGUAAGUUUUACAAUUUCCAUUUUAUGAUGAGGGAAACUGAGGCUUAGAAAGAUUAAGAAACUUGCCCAAAUCCUGCAGCCAGAAAUGGGCAGAAUCAAGACAUGAACCACAGUCUCUCAAAAGCCAAAGCCUGGGCACUCACUACUACCCUCAACAGCCCGGUGGCUGGUUCAUGCCAUCUCUGCCACCCUCACACAGCCACCUCUUGGAUGGUAGAACCCUGUGUGUUGAACAAGUAGAGUAACAUUCUAAAAGGAUUCUUUUUCCUCCCCUGUUUUCCUGGGGGCUGAGUAGACAUGUUUAAACAUGCUGUUCAUCUGACACUUGUUUACUUCAGUGGCUAUGAUGUGCAAGACCCCAGACCAGGAACAGUAAGAGGGCAUGAGGAUAACCCAGCGUGGAGACCACUCUGGAGGAGGCUGCAGACUGGAGGCGCUGUUGUAGCCAGCUGCAUUUUGGAGGCUGGGUUGCCUGUCUUAGAUCUCUAAUGAGUUUGGUCAUUAUUUUUUCAGCCAGGGUUUUCUUCCUCCCUCCCUGUCUUCCUUCCCUUUCUCCUUCCUUCCUUCAUUCCUUCCUUCCUUUCUUCCUUCCUUCUUUCCUCCCUCCCUCCCUCCCUCCCUCCCUUCCUUUCUCUCUUUCCUUCUAUCUUUUAUUUUCUCUCUUUCUCUGUCUCUCUCUUUCUCUCUUUCUUCCUCCCUCCCUCCCUUUCUCUCCUUCUUUCUUUCUCCCUCCCUCCUCUCCUCCCUCUCUUGGUCUCUCUCUCUCUCCCUUCCUUCCUUUGUUCUUUCAAGAUUUUUCUUUCUUUCUUUCUUUCUUUUAAAGGUGUAAGCCUUUUUCUGGUUCACUACAUGCCAAGGACUGCGCUAAAUCAUUCACAUAAAACCACCAGCGUGCAUCACCUCAUUUGGUCCUCCCACAGUCUAACGGAAGAAUCUACCAUAAAACCAACAGACUCCUCCUGAUCUCUACCUGUGCUGUCUGCCUCUCUAGUUCCGGACACUGAGAGCUGGUGCCCUGUGGCCACCUCAAGCUGGAACCCUGCAAGAUCACCAAGAAGACUGCAUGCCUCGCUCUAGCCUUCCUAAGGGAAAGUAGACUCCUGUUUUUGAGAGAAAUUACCUGAUUUCAAGAGAAACAUAAAGGACUUUUUUUCCCUUAACAUUCCACUCGUAAAAAUGAAGUUUGGAAGAACUUCUGCAAACUCUGAGUGUUUUGGUCAAUUGACCUUUUACUGUACUAAGCAAAUCUGAAGCCACAAAUACAUUGGGGAGGAAGGUAUACCCUUCACAAAAGAUCCGUCACUUAGCCAGAUACUCUGUUGCCAUGCUUCUUUAAAUAAAGCACAUUUCUGGUAUAUUUUAUUUAUUUAUUUUUAUUUUUUAGAGUUGGGGUCUUGCUCUGUUGCUCAGGCUAGAAUGCAGUGAUAUGAUCAGAGCUUAUUACAGCCUUGAACUCCUGGGCUCAAGUAAUCUGCCUGCCUCAGCCUCACAAUUCAUUGGGAUUACAAGCAUGAGCCACCGUGCCUGGCUCUUUUCCUGGUAUAUUUUAAAUUGUUU
rnacentral:lncRNA from 1 species